AGUGUCCAUUCUUUUGUUGGUCCAGAGUUUAUUUUUACUGCAUGAACGGUGUUUAUAAUCUCGUUCAGAGAGGGUGAAACCGAAGCCAGUCAGGCUCUUGGUUCAGUCCUUCGGGUACCCAUCUGACGUCAUUACGUCGGCAGACGUCUCUCCCUGGAAGUCCGAAGUUGCACGAGAACAAUGGCUGCCUGACAACGGCUGUUUCACUUCGGCGAAAGGUUAUCAAGGAAACAAGUGGUGUGCUGGAUGAAGUUUGAUGGACUCUUCUGAUCAGGUGCUGCAGGUCUUCCAGCUACUGUUUGGAGAAGAUAUUUCCUCUCAAUUUAUGGAAGUAGGGAAUUUUUCUGAAGGCAGAAAUCAAGGAUUCAAGAACCCAAGUUGGACUCUUGAUUCCACUGAGACCACUGUGUGCAUUUUGAAAUGUUCCAAAUGUGUGUCACGUCCAUACGGAAGAAGUUCCAAGCCCACAAUGGGCUCUAUGAACUGUCCAGGGCAAAGUCGGUCUACCCUGAUGACACU